ACGACGCUGGCGGCACGCCUAAUACAUGCAAGUCGAACGAAGUAGCAAUACUUAGUGGCAGACGGGUGAGUAACAUGUGGGUAUCUUCCCUUUGGUGAGGAAUAACACGAGGAAACUUGUGCUAAUACCUCAUAAGUCUUUACGGAGAAAGCUUUAUGCGCCAUUGGAUGAGCCUGCACUUGAUUAGUUUGUUGGUGGGGUAAUGGCCUACCAAGACAAUGAUCAAUAGCUGAUUUGAGAGGAUGAUCAGCCACAUUGGGACUGAGACACGGCCCAAACUUCUACGGAAGGCAGCAGUAGGGAAUCUUGCACAAUGGAGGAAACUCUGAUGCAGCGAUGCCGCGUGAGUGAAGAAGGCCUUUGGGUUGUAAAGCUCUUUCGUCGGGGAAGAAAAUGACUGUACCCGAAUAAGAAGGUCCGGCUAACUUCGUGCCAGCAGCCGCGGUAAUACGAAGGGACCUAGCGUAGUUCGGAAUUACUGGGCUUAAAGAGUUCGUAGGUGGUUAAAAAAGUUGGUGGUGAAAUCCCAGAGCUUAACUCUGGAACUGCCAUCAAAACUUUUUAGCUAGAGUAUGAUAGAGGAAAGCAGAAUUUCUAGUGUAGAGGUGAAAUUCGUAGAUAUUAGAAAGAAUACCAAUUGCGAAGGCAGCUUUCUGGAUCAUUACUGACACUGAGGAACGAAAGCAUGGGUAGCGAAGAGGAUUAGAUACCCUCGUAGUCCAUGCCGUAAACGAUGUGUGUUAGACGUUGGAAAUUUAUUUUCAGUGUCGCAGCGAAAGCAAUAAACACACCGCCUGGGGAGUACGACCGCGUAACUCAAAUGAUGACGUC
rnacentral:rRNA from 1 species